GACAGAGGGUGCAAACGUUGUUCGGAAUUACUGGGCGUAAAGCGCGCGUAGGCGGAUCGCUAAGUCAGGGGUGAAAUCCCAGGGCUCAACCCUGGAACUGCCUUUGAUACUGACGAUCUGGAGAUCGGGAGAGGUGAGUGGAAUUCCGAGUGUAGAGGUGAAAUUCGUAGAUAUCGGGAGGAACACCGGUGGCGAAGGCGGCGACCUGGGUAGAUACUGACGCUGAGGUGCGAAAGCGUGGGGAGCAAACAGG
rnacentral:rRNA from 1 species